rnacentral:rRNA from 1 species
GAUGAACGCUAGCUACAGGCUUAACACAUGCAAGUCGAGGGGCAGCAUGGUCUUAGCUUGCUAAGGCCGAUGGCGACCGGCGCACGGGUGAGUAACACGUAUCCAACCUGCCGUCUACUCUUGGACAGCCUUCUGAAAGGAAGAUUAAUACAAGAUGGCAUCAUGAGUCCACAUGUUCACAUGAUUAAAGGUAUUCCCGUAGACGAUGGGGAUGCGUUCCAUUAGAUAGUAGGCGGGGUAAUGGCCCACCUAGUCUUCGAUGGAUAGGGGUUCUGAGAGGAAGGUCCCCCACAUUGGAACUGAGACACGGUCCAAACUCCUACGGGAGGCAGCAGUGAGGAAUAUUGGUCAAUGGGCGAGAGCCUGAACCAGCCAAGUAGCGUGAAGGAUGACUGCCCUAUGGGUUGUAAACUUCUUUUAUAAAGGAAUAAAGUCGGGUAUGCAUACCCGUUUGCAUGUACUUUAUGAAUAAGGAUCGGCUAACUCCGUGCCAGCAGCCGCGGUAAUACGGAGGAUCCGAGCGUUAUCCGGAUUUAUUGGGUUUAAAGGGAGCGUAGAUGGAUGUUUAAGUCAGUUGUGAAAGUUUGCGGCUCAACCGUAAAAUUGCAGUUGAUACUGGAUAUCUUGAGUGCAGUUGAGGCAGGCGGAAUUCGUGGUGUAGCGGUGAAAUGCUUAGAUAUCACGAAGAACUCCGAUUGCGAAGGCAGCCUGCUAAGCUGCAACUGACAUUGAGGCUCGAAAGUGUGGGUAUCAAACAGGAUUAGAUACCCUGGUAGUCCACACGGUAAACGAUGAAUACUCGCUGUUUGCGAUAUACAGCAAGCGGCCAAGCGAAAGCGUUAAGUAUUCCACCUGGGGAGUACGCCGGCAACGGUGAAACUCAAAGGAAUUGACGGGGGCCCGCACAAGCGGAGGAACAUGUGGUUUAAUUCGAUGAUACGCGAGGAACCUUACCCGGGCUUAAAUUGCAGAUGAAUUACGGUGAAAGCCGUAAGCCGCAAGGCAUCUGUGAAGGUGCUGCAUGGUUGUCGUCAGCUCGUGCCGUGAGGUGUCGGCUUAAGUGCCAUAACGAGCGCAACCCUUGUUGUCAGUUACUAACAGGUUCCGCUGAGGACUCUGACAAGACUGCCAUCGUAAGAUGUGAGGAAGGUGGGGAUGACGUCAAAUCAGCACGGCCCUUACGUCCGGGGCUACACACGUGUUACAAUGGGGGGUACAGAGGGCCGCUACCACGCGAGUGGAUGCCAAUCCCAAAAACCUCUCUCAGUUCGGACUGGAGUCUGCAACCCGACUCCACGAAGCUGGAUUCGCUAGUAAUCGCGCAUCAGCCACGGCGCGGUGAAUACGUUCCCGGGCCU